rnacentral:misc_RNA from 1 species
CCAGAGAAAUAUGCGAACAGGGAGAAGCGAGUAUGAUAAAUGAAUUAUUGCGCACUAUCAGAGGCUACUGUGAAAAAAGAAACAUCGAUUACAAAAAUGUAAAUGUUUGUAGGCAAUCGAGACGUUUAAAUAAUGGCGAUUUUAUUGUACCAAAAGGAUGCCUUGAGGAUUUAUCAUCCGAGGAUAUUUCUGCAUUACAAGAUGAUAUUGUACAGCACAGUCAAAGAACACAACUGCCAAUCCGGAGAGUCUGUCAAGCAGACUACCAUGCUCUGGUUCUGUUUGUGGACAGAUCAAAAGCCUACUGGAAUGUGAUUAACAAGGUUCUUCAUAAAGGAAACAACUAUGGAAAAACUGACCAGAGUGAGAGCAAAACGCAUGUAGUGUUGUUAAACUCAGCUGACGUGGCUGCUACUUGUACUAACUUGGUUGUCACUGGUGAUGACUGCAGAGCAGGCUUUCAUGAGAAACUAUACACAGACUGUAGUGACAAAUACCCAACUCUUAAAGCUGCAUGUCCUGGUGACAUGAAGAGUCUGGUGCCUGCAACUGUUAAUGACAGUGACAAUAUGAACCCAGCCUCUCUCAGUGAUCUGAAUUCUUUGAACCUUCAUAGUAAUAACACCAAGGACCCAGCCUCUUUGAGUGGUCCACCGACCACCACAAACACUGACUGUCCUGCUGACCGUAGCGCUAUCAGACCUGACAUCACUGGUACUCGUAACACUACAGACCAUUCCUCUUCUUGUGACCCAAAAAUGCCUGCUGCUUCUGGUCAUCUGGAUGACCAUGUUCCUGAUAUUACUGGUGACCAUGAUGUCAUAAACAUCCAGUGCCAUGACAGUUCCAAUGAUCAGCAUAAUCGUUUGGCAACAGAACACCGUGGCAACAUACAAAAAGCUAAUGAAAUUAGUGGACUUGAUACGGCAUAUUCCAGUAUGGCAGUCCAUACCUCUGAUACAGCAGAAUCUGUAAACCAGAUUCCAGUGACACCUCUGUGUUUACGAGCUAUAGCAAUAUUGCAGCAUGUAACAGAACUUCUUAAGGCUACAGGACACAUAAUGAGGGAAGUUCCGUUUCUGCCUUCUCCAGCUGUCCUCGAGUUGUGCCAUGUUCUGGGAUAUCGGCCACAUGAUUCUUCAACAAAUACCAGAACCCUGGACGCCAUGACUCACAAGGCAGAAGUCUCACCAUUCAGGCAUACAGUGAACAGGGUCACGGUUAACCAGCAGGGAAGUGAGGGUGACACCGAUUCGACAGAGACAGACAAGUCAGAAAUCAUUGUCAUAGAUCUCAGGAAAUAUAUACAGGAAGCUUGCCUUGUCCAAGGCAGAAAGGCUUAUGACAAAAAUCUUCAUUUCGUUGAUGUGAAAUAUGUGGAUGGACCUACAGAUGUUCUUCACCGUGUAGCGAGACUGGAGAAUGCUUUAUCUGAGGACAGUCUGCAGCAGCCCGAUGAUGUUGUGUGUGUGCACAUUGUGUCUGAAAAUUUGUCAUUCACCUAUCAACAAAUUGACCUCGUGUGGAGAAUGCUUUCCACUCAACAAACACCAGUUAACCAGAGUCAUUUGGUGACUGGUUCAGUGGACUGCAGAAAGGAAGGAGCAGGUCAGUAUCAGAUGAGUGCUGAAGAUUUCAUCAGAUUACGUCUCCAACAAGUCAAACAACUCUCAGAUCAGAAAUAUGGAGAUGACCGUGGUUCCGCAUGGGAGUCGACUCUGAUGACCCUUACUGCAGCAGCAAUCAAGUUUGAGAUGUUGAACACGGCGUGUAAAAACCGAGUAAACAAUCAUGUUCUAUAUCUUCAUGUUGAAGCUGGAUGUUUCACAGCAUGCUGACGGAGGACCUGGAGCCGAGACUAGGGCAGGGCUCUUUGUCAUUUACAACUGUGCACGACUAGCCACCCUGUUCAGACAUUUCCAACAGGAGGUUCAGAAAGGUGUUUAUCCAGAACUUCCCAGCAUAGACAAUGUUAACUUUGAUCUGCUGAGAGAAGAG